CUGCAUGGUUCAGGUGUUUCGCUUCUGCAGGCUGUGUUCCUUCGACUGGUGGCUCUUCUGGCGGUGGUUCUAUGCGGCGUAGAGAAGAGAUUCGGCUUGGGAAACGUCAUGUUGAUCAUACUAUUGCUGCCUCUUUUUGCCAGCCUGCGUGCUACGUGCCUCCUGUUGAUCCUCGUGUCCUUUCGUCCAAUGCAUACCAUGGUAUUUUUUGGGGUUUUUGAUGUGACAGUUGUUUUAAAUCUAUAUCUAUAUCUAUACUACUAUAUAGUGUAUCAGUUUUGAGAUGGAUCCAGAGCUUCAAUCAUAACCGUUGGUCUCCAAAAUCGAAGGGCUAAGAUCAGCCGGAUUCGCCAUGAACAAUAGACUGGUGUUGCCUCUGCUGUGUUCUAGAAUAUUCACGUGGCCCUUCCAGGAAAAAAAAGGUCCAUAUGCGAUGCCUCAUGGGCUACAUUUUACUGCUUGAGCGCAUGACGACUUGAGCCCAGAUAAGAAGGUUUGGGAGGAGAAUGGGAAGAAAAAACAAUAGAUUAACAUACAGUUUUUUUAAUGAACCUCCAGUGUUUUAGAUGUGAAUGUACACUUUUUUGUAUGAAUAUUAAAAACAAUUGUGGGUGGAAUUUCAUUUAUCAAAA